UUUACAUCAAUAGCAUGCUAAAGCCUUGACACACGCCAAAGUACACACAAUUGCUUGCAGUGAUAUUUAACAUCCAAGGGAAAAGCUCCUGUUAGAAAGAUGGAGCUUAAAAAUGGCCAGUGACCUCCAAUGACCUUUGACUCUCCAUCUGGCUGUACCGGGUUUGAAGCUAGGAUGCUUGAUUCUUGAUAAGAAAGGGGUCUACACAGCCCUUUGUCAUGAGCGCCCUUUAUGGCCCAGAAGGAAUUUGUGGAUGUGUCUGAAAGGCCACAGGAGUGCAGGGGUGGAUCAGAAGGACAAGGAGAGGAGGGAGGAAAAUGCUGUGGAUCUUAAUGGUUUCCAACUUUUUCCUAUGGCAGAAGGGCUAUCAAAGCACUUUUUUUCCAGAAACAGCAACAGCAGCCAACCU